rnacentral:rRNA from 1 species
CCUACGGGAGACUGCAGUGAGGAAUAUUGGUCAAUGGGCGCGAGCCUGAACCAGCCAAGUCGCGUGAGGGAAGACGGUCCUAUGGAUUGUAAACCUCUUUUGUCGGGGAGCAAAAGACGCCACGCGUGGCGUUCCGAGAGUACCCGAAGAAAAAGCAUCGGCUAACUCCGUGCCAGCAGCCGCGGUAAUACGGAGGAUGCGAGCGUUAUCCGGAUUUAUUGGGUUUAAAGGGUGCGCAGGCGGAAGAUCAAGUCAGCGGUAAAAUUGAGGGGCUCAACCUCUUCGAGCCGUUGAAACUGGUGUUCUUGAGUGAGUGAGAGGUAUGCGGAAUGCGUGGUGUAGCGGUGAAAUGCAUAGAUAUCACGCAGAACUCCGAUUGCGAAGGCAGCAUACCGGCGCUCAACUGACGCUCAUGCACGAAAGUGUGGGUAUCGAACAGGAUUAGAUACCCCUGUAGUC